UACAGUGGCAAUAGCACGUUGAUUGUGCCAGUUCCGUAUGGAUCACUAAAGUUUAGCAACAUCGAGUGAGGUUAGUAUUCGGAUGGGUGACCAUAUGGGCAGUCGCGUGCUGCUGGCU
rfam:Asian citrus Psyllid, Diaphorina citri - Florida Strain, whole genome shotgun sequence.